CGUGGGUAACCUGCCCAAGAGAUCGGGAUAACACCUGGAAACAGAUGCUAAUACCGGAUAACAACAGAUGAUGCCUAUCAACUGUUUAAAAGAUGGUUCUGCUAUCACUCUUGGAUGGACCUGCGGUGCAUUAGCUAGUUGGUAGGGUAACGGCCUACCAAGGCGAUGAUGCAUAGCCGAGUUGAGAGACUGAUCGGCCACAUUGGGACUGAGACACGGCCCAAACUCCUACGGGAGGUAGCAGGG
rnacentral:rRNA from 1 species